UUGCCUAGUAUGGUCUGUGCUGAAAAGCAUUGUCUUGAUGCCUUUCCUGAAAGUUGUUUAUCAGAUAACUUUCAAUUUUCAGACUAUUUCGUUCUAAGGUCAAGAUUAAAUCGCAGCACUAAAAAAUAGUUAGUUUUUUUGCGAGAUUUUGCAAACUAUUUUACCAUACAUUGCUGCAAACAAUCUUAAAUACCUCAGAACAUAUUAUAUAGACAAUAUUUGUGCAAACCGCUCAAAUAUGUGUAUAUUAUUUCUUUUCUAUUUUGUUAUAUAGGUAUUUCAAUUAUAGGUAUAACUCUUAAUAAUUUUGAAUUUUCAGAAAGAGCGACAUUAUUGGUUCUAAUCUUUUCCUUUUUGUAUUUCAUUAUUUCUCCAGACAUAGAUGAGUGUAAAAACCCGUCUCUAUAUUCAUGCCCUGGUGGAUUUGAGUGUGCCAAUACUCUUGGCUUCUACAAAUGUGUUUGCAAUGGAAGCGUGGUAAAUGCGAAGAUGAAGGUAUAGCUCUGAUAUAUUUAUGUAUAAAUAUAUAUGCAUGAGUGAUUUCUAACAUAAAAACUUUCUACUAACGUUGCACAAACAGUAUAACCACACA